AUGUGUGUAUCCAAGAACCAAGCAGGAAUGGGUUUUCGGGAUAUCCAUUGUUUCAAUUUGGCUAUGCUUGCUAAACAGGCUUGGCAUCUUAUCGAGAAUCCGGAUUCUCUAUGUGCUACUAUUUUGAGAGUCAAAUACUAUCCUGACGAUGACUUGUUGAACACUGACCUGAAGAAGGGUUCUUCCUUCACCUGGCAAAGUAUUAUGGCGGGUGUG
rnacentral:rRNA from 1 species